CCUUCAACCCAACAACCUCAAACUGGGUUUAAUCCCAGUAGAAUGAUUGGUAUCAUCAGAAGGAAGGCAAUGAUAAAAGACCUAGCUGCUAUAUACCAUGCAGAGUGCCUUGCAUAUUGUCAAGAACUUUUGGAACUUCAAAACAAAGUGGAAGAGUCAUUAAUUGACAUGAAACCUGCAGAAG